rnacentral:rRNA from 1 species
AACGCGAAGAACCUUACCAGGUCUUGACAUCCCUUGCUAAUCCUAGAAAUAGGACGUUCCCUUCGGGGACAAGGUGACAGGUGGUGCAUGGUUGUCGUCAGCUCGUGUCGUGAGAUGUUGGGUUAAGUCCCGCAACGAGCGCAACCCUUAUUAUUAGUUGCCAGCAUUCAGUUGGGCACUCUAGUGAGACUGCCGGUGACAAACCGGAGGAAGGUGGGGAUGACGUCAAAUCAUCAUGCCCCUUAUGACCUGGGCUACACACGUGCUACAAUGGCAUAUACAACGAGUCGCCAACCCGCGAGGGUGCGCUAAUCUCUUAAAGUAUGUCUCAGUUCGGAUUGUAGGCUGCAACUCGCCUACAUGAAGUCGGAAUCGCUAGUAAUCGCGGAUCAGCACGCCGCGGUGAAUACGUUCCCGGGCCUUGUACACACCG